GCAGACACAUUCCAGCCAAUCAGCAGCAGACCCUCCCUCCCAGACCCUCCCACCUCCUGGACAGCAUCCAUUUUACAUUCAUUGUGAAGCUGCAUUCUUAGUGAGGUGUCCAGGAGGUGGGAGGGUCUGGGAGUGAGGGUCUGCUGCUGAUUGGCUGGAAUGUGUCUG
rnacentral:miRNA from 1 species